GGGGGGCAUUUUUUGAAAAGGGACUUUUCAGUGAGAUAAUAUAUUAAGAGGGGGAUAGCAAUGGCUGAAGGCCACGUGUAUGGCCAAUAUACCACGCAUGAAUGGGGGGGGGUCUGGGUGUGUACUCCCCCAGAAAAUUUUUGAAAUUUGAAUCCCGGAAAUGUCAUUUCCUGCAUUCUGAGCAUCCAAAUUUGCUCCAAAAUUUAUCCUAACUAUACUUGUAUUUGAAAUAAAUAAAGGAAAAAACGCACAAAAAGUAAAAAAAAAAUUAACCAUAAUUUAUCAUUACUUAUUAGAGGAGGAUAGCAAUGGUCACGUGUGUGGGGGUGUACUGCCCAGAAAAUUUUUGAAAUUUGAAGCACGGAAAUGCCAUUUCCUGCAUUCUGAGCAUCCAAAUUUGCCCUAAAAUUUAUACUAACUAUACUUGUAUUUGAAAUAAAAGAAGGAAAAAAUGCACAAAAAGUAAAAAAAGAAUAUUAACCGUAAUUUAUCAUUACUUUUUGGAGGUAUAAUCCUCAGAAAAUUUUUGAAAUUUGAAACCAGGAAAUGCCAUUUCCUGCAUUCUGAGCAUCCAAAAAAUAAAAAUAUUAUUAACAAUAAUUUAUCAUUACUUAGUGGUGGAAAAACGUAACAAUUUAAAUCGAUUUUGUUAAACAAGGACAAAGGAUAAAGCCUAAAACUUACUUUUCGUUAGCCUGCGAGCAAGCUCUCUUGGUGAAAGAGAGCCUGCAAGGAUCCCUAUGAUAU